rnacentral:rRNA from 1 species
GAAUCCGCYAAGGAGUGUGUAACAACUCACCUGCCGAAUGAAUUAGCCCUGAAAAUGGAUGGCGCUGAAGCGGGUGACCGACACCAUGCCGUUUGGGCAAGAAAACGCUCAGAUGAGUAGGAGGGCGUGGGGAUUGUGUCGAAGCAUGCGUGCAAACGUGUGUGGAACGGUCUCUAGUGCAGAUCUUGGUGGUAGUAGCAAGUAUUCAAGUGAGACCCUUGAAGGGCGAAGCGGGGAAGGGUUCCACGCGAACAUUGAUUGGGCGUGGGUGAGUCGUUCCUAAGCCGAGUGGCAAUUGCUAAGUAGCGGCGAAAGGGAAGCGGGUUGACAUUCCCGCACACGGAUGUGGAGGCGGUGACGCACUACUGGGACGGAGACGCUGGCGACGGCGCUGGGCAGAGUUGUCUUUUCUGUUUGACCGUGCGAAAAGCUGUGUGGAAUCCGCUUGUCGGGAGAAACACGCUUAUUCGGGCAGAGCGCCGGGACUUUUCCGGCGUCCAGCUCGCCGUCGACGGCCCUUGAAAAUCUGUMUGSUGAUUUAAUCCACGCCGUGGCGUACCGAUCACCGCAUCAVGUCCCCAAGGUGAACAGCCUCUGCUCGAUAUGAAAAAUGCAGGUAAGGGAAGUCGGCA